CCUGACUGCUAUCGGAUUGAUACUAAGCCAUGCGAGUCAUUGUAGUAAUACAAGGCAGACGGCUCAGUAACGCGUAGUCAACCUAACCUAUGGACGGGAAUAACCUCGGGAAACUGAGUAUAAUGCCCGAUAGAACAUUAUGCCUGGAAUGGUUUAUGUUCCAAAUGAUUUAUCGCCGUAGGAUGGGACUGCGGCCUAUCAGUUUGUUGGUGAGGUAAUGGCCCACCAAGACUAUUACAGGUACGGGCUCUGAGAGGAGUAGCCCGGAGAUGGGUACUGAGACACGGACCCAGGCCCUAUGGGGCGCAGCAGGCGAGAAAACUUUGCAAUGUGCGAAAGCACGACAAGGUUAAUCCGAGUGGUUUCUGCUAAAGGAACCUUUUGUCGGUCCUAGAAACACCGAUGAAUAAGGGGUGGGCAAGUUCUGGUGUCAGCCGCCGCGGUAAAACCAGCACCUCAAGUGGUCAGGAUGAUUAUUGGGCCUAAAGCAUCCGUAGCCGGCUCUGUUAGUUUUCGGUUAAAUCUGUACGCUCAACGUACAGGCUGCCGGGAAUACUGCAAAGCUAGGGAGUGGGAGAGGUAGACGGUACUCGGUAGGAAGGGGUAAAUUCCUUUGAUCUAUUGAUGACCACCUGUGGCGAAGGCGGUCUACCAGAACACGUCCGACGGUGAGGGAUGAAAGCUGGGGGAGCAAACCGGAUUAGAUACCCGGGUAGUCCCAGCUGUAAACUAUGCAAACUCAGUGAUGCAUUGGCUUGUGGCCAAUGCAGUGCUGCAGGGAAGCCGUU
rnacentral:rRNA from 1 species